CAAAUAUUUAAUAGACUGCUGACAAUAUUUGUUAAGAUGUGCAAACAGAACCAGAGAAGGCAAUGGCACCCCACUCUAGUACUCUUGCGGGGGUUGCUAAGAGUAGGACACGACUGAGCGACUUCACUUUCACUUUUCACUUUCAUGCAUUGGAGAAGGAAAUGGCAACCCACUCCAGUGUUCUUGCCUGGAGAAUCCCAGGGACGGGGGAGCCUGGUGGGCUGCCGACUAUGGGGUCGCACAGAGUGGGACACGACUGAAACGACUCAGCAGCAGCAGCAGCAGCAAACAGAACUCUCAUGAAUUACUGAUAAAACAGCAACUGAGGCUGAGAGAAAGAAUGGAUUUCCAUGGACACUAUUCUUGCAUAUAAUGACACAGCAGGAAGCAAAGCCAGCACUUUUUUGGUGGUCCAG
ensembl:lncRNA